ACCCUUUAAUGUUUGAUGUUCUAACGUGGACCCGUGAUCCGGGUUGCGGACAGUGUCUGGUGGGUAGUUUGACUGGGGCGGUCUCCUCCUAAAGAGUAACGGAGGAGCACGAAGGUUGGCUAAUCCUGGUCGGACAUCAGGAGGUUAGUGCAAUGGCAUAAGCCAGCUUGACUGCGAGCGUGACGGCGCGAGCAGGUGCGAAAGCAGGUCAUAGUGAUCCGGUGGUUCUGAAUGGAAGGGCCAUCGCUCAACGGAUAAAAGGUACUCCGGGGAUAACAGGCUGAUACCGCCCAAGAGUUCAUAUCGACGGCGGUGUUUGGCACCUCGAUGUCGGCUCAUCACAUCCUGGGGCUGAAGUAGGUCCCAAGGGUAUGGCUGUUCGCCAUUUAAAGUGGUACGCGAGCUGGGUUUAGAACGUCGUGAGACAGUUCGGUCCCUAUCUGCCGUGGGCGCUGGAGAACUGAGGGGGGCUGCUCCUAGUACGAGAGGACCGGAGUGGACGCAUCACUGGUGUUCGGGUUGUCAUGCCAAUGGCACUGCCCGGUAGCUAAAUGCGGAAGAGAUAAGUGCUGAAAGCAUCUAAGCACGAAACUUGCCCCGAGAU
rnacentral:rRNA from 2 species